rnacentral:ncRNA from 2 species
AAAAUCCAGACGGGAGAACCGGCAACCGCCGGUGCCGAAGGCGCAACCGCCCCGGAAACGCUCAGGCCCAAGGACCGUCGGGAGAAC